rnacentral:rRNA from 1 species
AACGAACGCUGGCGGCAGGCCUAACACAUGCAAGUCGAGCGAAGCCUUCGGGCUUAGCGGCGGACGGGUGAGUAACGCGUGGGAACGUGCCCGUUGGUACGGAAUAGCCCCGGGAAACUGGGAGUAAUACCGUAUGUGGUCGAGAGACGAAAGAUUUAUCGCCAAAGGAUCGGCCCGCGUUGGAUUAGGUAGUUGGUGGGGUAAUGGCAUACCAGGCCGACGAUCCAUAGCUGGUUUGAGAGGAUGAUCAGCCACAAUGGGAAUGAGACACGGCCCAGACUCCUACGGGAGGGAGCAGGGUGGAAUCUUAGACAAUGGGGGAAACCCUGAUCUAGCCAUGCCGCGUGAUCGAUGAAGGCCUUAGGGUUGUAAAGAUCUUUCAGGGGGGAAGAUAAUGACUGUACCCACAGAAGAAGCCCCGGCUAACUCCGUGCCAGCAGCCGCGGUAACAC